CCAUUCAUUGAUCGGUGUUUCAUUUUGUACUUUACUUCCUACUCGUCCACCAGAGGACCAUCGGUAUGACUUCAUGCAAGAGCUUCUCGCAAGUGCCCUGCUUGGAACACUUCUUAUAAACACAUAUACGUUAAUUGCUAAAUCUUAUAUCAAGGAAAUAUUCGAAGAUGAUUCAUCUCAGGGUUCUCUACUCUCAUAAUGGCACAUUACUAUUACAGAACUAUAAGUAAUUCAUUACGAUUAAGUAAUAUUAAAAUAAUACAGAUAAAUGUAAAAUUGUCGAUAUCAAAUAACAAAAGAUAUGAUUUACAAGUAAUGGUUUCACUCAAGAAGCAGUUCUUGUGAUCUGAUUCUUUCAUCGGAGACACCAAUCUUGAAAAAUUGUCAAAAAAUGUAUUUUCAGAAUUAUAAGUUCAUAAGAGAGUAUAGGUCUGGCGCAAAGUUCAGUGGUGAAGCGAGUAUACUGAUCCAUAAAUUCAACUUCCAAUAUACAUAUUGUACCAGUAAUCCCAUAUAACAGUCGUAUCAAAUUUAUAAUAAUUAAAAUUAAAGCACAGAAAGAUAAUAAUUUCUUUAUUAUAUCUAUAUAUGCAUCUUUAAAACAGAAUUCAAUGAACAGCUGGAUAUUUUAUUUUCAAAAUUAAAUUUAUCAGAUUUUAACACUUUGACAGCUACUAUCGCGUAGACAUGAUUUCGCAAACAUAAUUUGAACAUAGUAGCGUUAAUACUUUUUAUUUAUUUGCGGGAGACCAUAAUGCUAAACGUACACCGGGGCAACAAUAUUAAUAACAAUCGUGGAAAAGACCCUAUAUAGAUGAAUUUUGAAUAGAUAAAUUCAAUAUAGAAUCCAACUGUAUAAUUGAUUUCAACCUUCUUACGAAAAAUCUAACUCCGUUAUAGAUUUAGUGAUAAUGAGAGAAAAAUAUUGUUAUUUUUCAUUUCAAUCAAAGAUUCUUAUAGGACUUUUCCUUCUUAAUAAAUCAGUUCAUUAGGAUUUUAGUAAAUGUGGCUUGUAACUAUAUCGAGAACAUCUUUUAUGAAAUUUCCCCUAUUUAAUACUAAACAACCAUAAAUUGUCCGUUCCCGAAAUUGACUCAUACCUAGGAGAAAUCAAUAAACACAUCCGUGAUGUUAUUGAAAUUUCUACCCUAAAGAUUAUUAAUGAAGCAUAUAAUUCUAUAGAUAAAUAUGUAAUUUCUAAACUAAAAACAUAUUUGUAAGGACCAUAUAUCAGAGGAUCAGAAUCAUUCUAGUCACCUUUUAUAGAUCUGUAAUCAUUGCCUACAUAUUCUCCCAAAAAUAGUAAAAAAAUUUAACAAUCAAUUCGUACUGGUACAACAGAAUAAUAGAUAUAAGUACUAGUAACCCCGAGGAAAUAUUCCCAGAGAUACGCUCGUCACCUUUGGCAAAGGAAUAUAACCUUCUUAUUAAGUGCAGCAACCGUGAUUUACAAAUCAGUUCAGACCACAUGAUUCUAAAUUCAGUUGUAAGAUUCCCAUAUUCAUGACUAGCAUAGUAACUACCCCACUCCAAUCGAUUAAUUCCCAGGCAUACCAGUUGCCUGAUAAACCAUAUGUAUAAAAGCACCAUGGAAAUCAAUAAAAAGUUUCAAUUGUCAUUCAA